rnacentral:rRNA from 1 species
GAUGAACGCUGGCGGCGUGCCUAAUACAUGCAAGUCGAGCGAACAGACGAGGAGCUUGCUCCUCUGACGUUAGCGGCGGACGGGUGAGUAACACGUGGAUAACCUACCUAUAAGACUGGGAUAACUUCGGGAAACCGGAGCUAAUACCGGAUAACAUGUUGAACCGCAUGGUUCAACAGUGAAAGACGGUCUUGCUGUCACUUAUAGAUGGAUCCGCGCCGCAUUAGCUAGUUGGUAAGGUAACGGCUUACCAAGGCAACGAUGCGUAGCCGACCUGAGAGGGUGAUCGGCCAGACUGGAACUGAGAAACGGUCCAGACUCCUACGGGAGGCAGCAGUAGGGAAUCUUCCGCAAUGGGCGAAAGCCUGACGGAGCAACGCCGCGUGAGUGAAGAAGGUCUUCGGAUCGUAAAACUAUGUUAUUAGGGAAGAACAAAUGUGUAAGUAACUAUGCACGUCUUGACGGUACCUAAUCAGAAAGCCACGGCUAACUACGUG